AGUUUUGACGAUGACAUUCUCUAUCUAUGUGUCUUGACCAAAUUACGUGCCAGCAGUCGCGGUAAUACGUAAAAGACUAGUGUUAUUCAUCUUUAAUAGGUUUAAAGAGUACCAAGACGGUUAAUAAAGCCCCUAAAGGGUACAAAUUAACUAGAGUUAUAUGAAAGGGAGCUCUUAGGUACUGUUGAGUGUAGAGAUGAAAUUCUGUGAUACCAGAUGAUUGGCACGGGUCUAUGCGAAGGCAUCUCC
rnacentral:rRNA from 1 species